rnacentral:rRNA from 1 species
CCUACGGGUGGCAGCAGUGGGGGAUAUUGCACAAUGGGGGAAACCCUGAUGCAGCGACGCCGCGUGAGUGAAGAAGUAUUUCGGUAUGUAAAGCUCUAUCAGCAGGGAAGAAAAUGACAGUACCUGACCAAGAAGCCCCGGCUAACUACGUGCCAGCAGCCGCGGUAAUACGUAGGGGGCAAGCGUUAUCCGGAUUUACUGGGUGUAAAGGGAGCGUAGACGGUUAUGUAAGUCUGGAGUGAAAGGCGGGGGCCCAACCCCGGGACUGCUUUGGAAACUGUGUAACUGGAGUGCAGGAGGGGCAGGCGGAAGUCCUGGUGUAGCGGUGAAAUGCGUAGAUAUCAGGAGGAACACCGGCGGCGAAGGCGGCCUGCUGGACUGAAACUGACGUUGAGGCUCGAAAGCGUGGGGAGCAAACAGGAUUAGAUACCCGGGUAGUC